GGCAGUUCUGAAAUAUUUUUUUGGAUGAUGUAUAUGAUAGACACAUUUGGAAACAGAAUUUUCUCUUUUUUCUUUUUACUAAUGCAAGCUUUACUAUACUUACAGUUUCCACCUGAAGAACUUAGUAAACUGACAUAUGGACCAAAAAAUUUUUAUUGGAGGGUUUGUGAUUCCAAAAUGGAUCAAAUGACAGAUGCUGCUACAAAGAGACCAAUCAACAACUGCUCAGCAGAGAUACAGAUCUGAAGCACAGAAGUGCAAUAGACACUCCUCAUGCCUUCGCCAGGAGCAUGGAAUUCUUCCCAGAGUCACAGAAGAUGGCACAGCCUGGGGACAAUCGGGAAUCACCUGGAGGAUGGCAGGUAGCACUGUUAUAUUUACUUAAAAAUUUGGCCAGGCAUGGUGGUUCACCCCUGUAAUCCAGCACUUUGGGAGGCCAAGAUGGGAGGAUAGCUUGAAGCCUGGAGUUUGAGACCAGCCUGGGC
ensembl:lincRNA